UAGGGAAUCUUCGGCAAUGGACGGAAGUCUGACCGAGCAACGCCGCGUGAGUGAAGAAGGUUUUCGGAUCGUAAAGCUCUGUUGUAAGAGAGGAACGAGUGUGAGAGUGGAAAGUUCACGCUGUGACGGUAUCUUACCAGAAAGGGACGGCUAACUACGUGCCAGCAGCCGCGGUAAUACGUAGGUCCCGAGCGUUGUCCGGAUUUAUUGGGCGUAAAGCGAGCGCAGGCGGUUAGAUAAGUCUGAAGUUAAAGGCUGUGGCUUAACCAUAGUAGGCUUUGGAAACUGUUUAACUUGAGUGCAAGAGGGGAGAGUGGAAUUCCAUGUGUAGCGGUGAAAUGCGUAGAUAUAUGGAGGAACACCGGUGGCGAAAGCGGCUCUCUGGCUUGUAACUGACGCUGAGGCUCGAAAGCGUGGGGAGCAAACAGGAUUAGAUACCCUGGUAGUCCACGCUGUAAACGAUGAGUGCUAGGUGUUAGACCCUUUCCGGGGUUUAGUGCCGUAGCUAACGCAUUAAGCACUCCGCCUGGGGAGUACGACCGCAAGGU
rnacentral:rRNA from 1 species